rnacentral:lncRNA from 1 species
UCCUCGUAGUGAAGCUGGGACGCCCCGUGGCUGGAACAGUGAUUCCAAUGAAGCUGGAACACCAUCAACAUGGGCGCAGACGCCAGGCUCUCAACAGCGAGACCCCCAGGCCCUCAAACGUGAAGCUCGGGAGCCCCGUGGCUGGAACAUUGAUUCCACUCCUAGCAACAGAGGAAGCCGGGACACCAUGGGCGCAGACCCCAGGCCCGCAAAGUGAAGCUGGGACUCCCCGUGGCUGGAACAGCGCUUCCACUCCAGCAACAGAGGAAGUGGGGACGCCGUGGGUGCAGACGCCAGGCCCCGAUGACGCAGCUACUGGUUGAUGUACAGCACAUCACCUUUGUUAUUGAUGUACAGCUUCUUUAGCUACUAACAAGUUGGAAUUUUCCAGAAUUACUGAUCAUUUUGUGGUUAGGUUGGUCGAUGACAUGAAGUUUUUCACUUCACUUUUUAUCUCUUCAUCUUCAUGGCUGGAUUUUUGGUUUAUCUAUGGACUUAUUGUUACCAUCUCCAAUCUCAUGCAGUGCCAUUCAUCGUGUUUUAUUACCUUGUAUUACUCUAUUUAUUUAUGCAGGAAUUGCUUCUUUUUCCAUCUUAUUUC